rnacentral:rRNA from 1 species
CUACGGGUGGCAGCAGUGGGGAAUAUUGGACAAUGGGCGAAAGCCUGAUCCAGCCAUGCCGCGUGUGUGAAGAAGGCCUUCGGGUUGUAAAGCACUUUCAGUGGGGAAGAAAGCCUUGGGGCUAAUACCCUCGAGGAAGGACAUCACCCACAGAAGAAGCACCGGCUAACUCCGUGCCAGCAGCCGCGGUAAUACGGAGGGUGCGAGCGUUAAUCGGAAUUACUGGGCGUAAAGCGCGCGUAGGCGGUCUGAUAAGCCGGUUGUGAAAGCCCCGGGCUCAACCUGGGAACGGCAUCCGGAACUGUCAGGCUAGAGUGCAGGAGAGGAAGGUAGAAUUCCCGGUGGAGCGGUGAAAUGCGUAGAGAUCGGGAGGAAUACCAGUGGCGAAGGCGGCCUUCUGGACUGACACUGACGCUGAGGUGCGAAAGCGUGGGUAGCAAACAGGAUUAGAUACCCCUGUAGUC